GUCAGUUUAUACAUUCAUCUGAUCACUAGAGGGAGUGAAGAAUCACUUCAGUUCAUUCAAACUGUGCUGUGAAACAAACCAUGAUCUCUUCAUCUUUACUGUUGCUUCUGGCAGUGAUAUCCUGUAUUGAUUCAUAUGAACUCACUCAGCCUGAGUCUCUGACUGUCCGUCCUGAUGCCACUCUCACUAUCAACUGUAAAGUCUCAUAUUCAGUUACAAGUGAGGCUACAGCCUGGAUUCGUCAGCCUGCAGGAAAAGCUCUGGAGUGGAUUGGAGUGAUCUACUAUAGUGGAGGCUUAGACUACAAGGAUUCACUGAAAAGCAAGUUCAGUAUCACCAGAGACACUUCCAGUAACACAAUAACACUGCAAAGAAAGAAUAUGAAAGCUGAAGACACAGCUGUGUAUUAUUGUGCCAGACACAGUGACAGACGCCAACAGACUCCCUUUGUUUUAGGUGUUAAUGGUCAGAGCCUGGAGUCCAUCCCAUCAAGUCCUGUCACCAAAAAACCUGGAGAAACUUUGAAUCUCUGA